GACGAACGCUGGCGGCGUGCCUAAUACAUGCAAGUAGGACGCAGUUGCGAACGGGUGAGUAACGACUAGGUAACAGCCUAGUAGAGGGGGAUAACAAGUGGACACGAUACCUAAUACCGCAUACUAGCAGGUGGACUUGCGUUGAAUUAGUUAGUAGGUAGGGUAAAGGCCUAACAAGGCAACGAUACAUAGCCGACCUGAGAUGGUGGUCGGCCACAAUGGGACUGAGACACGGCCCAGAAUCCUACGGGGGGCAGCAGUAGGGAAUCUUCGGCAAUGGGGGGAACCCUGACCGAGCAACGCCGCGUGAGUGAAGAAGGUUUUCGGAUCGUAAAGCUCUGUUGUUAAGGAAGCGGUACUUAACCAGAAAGGGACGGCUAACUACGUGCCAGCAGCCGCGGUAAUUC
rnacentral:rRNA from 1 species